GACGAACGCUGGCGGCGUGCUUAACACAUGCAAGUCGAACGGAAAGGCCUGCUUUCCCUUGUGGCUUGCGGGUACUCGAGUGGCGAACGGGUGAGUAAUACGUGAGUGAUCUGCCCCCAACUUGUGUAUAAGCCUGGGGAACUGGGUCUAAUUCCCGAUAGGCCUGCAGGGUGGUGCCUGUGGUGGAAAACGAUUUUCUAGUGGAUGGGGAAGAGCUCGCGGCCUAUUAGCUGGUUGGUGGGGUAAUGGCCCACCACGGCGGCGACGGGGAGCCGGCCUGAGGGGGUGGACGGGGACAUUGGGACUGAGAUGCGGCAUAGGCUCCGACAGAAGGCAGCAGUGGGGAAUAGUGGACGCUGUGGGGAAGCUUGGAGCAUCGACGCAGCGUGGAUGAUGACGGCCUGCGGGUUGUAAGCUGCUUUCGGCCGCGAAGAAGCCACCUGGUUGGAAGGGUGGUGACGGUAGUGGUAGAAGAAGCACCGGCUAACUCCGUG
rnacentral:rRNA from 1 species